rnacentral:rRNA from 1 species
CCUACGGGAGGCAGCAGUGAGGAAUAUUGGUCAAUGGCCGGAAGGCUGAACCAGCCAAGCCGCGUGAAGGACGAAGGUGCCAAGCAUUGUAAACUUCUUUUGUCAAGGGACAAAAUCAGGCUCGAGAGCCUGACCGAGGGUACUUGAAGAAAAAGCAUCGGCUAACUCCGUGCCAGCAGCCGCGGUAAUACGGAGGAUGCGAGCGUUAUCCGGAUUGAUUGGGUUUAAAGGGUGCGUAGGCGGACUGUUAAGUCAGCGGUAAAAGCCCGGGGCUCAACCCCGGCGAGCCGUUGAAACUGGCUGUCUUGAGAUGUCGAGAGGUAUGCGGAAUGCGCAGUGUAGCGGUGAAAUGCUUAGAUAUUGCGCAGAACUCCGAUUGCGAAGGCAGCAUACCGGCGGCGAUCUGACGUUGAGGCACGAAAGCGUGGGUAUCGAACAGGAUUAGAUACCCGGGUAGUC